UACGGAGGGUGCAAACGUUGCUCGGAAUUAUUGGGCGUAAAGCGUACGUAGGCGGUCCAGCAAGUCGGGUGUGAAAGCCCUCGGCUUAACCGAGGAAGUGCAUUCGAAACUACUGGACUUGAAUACUGGAGAGGAUCGCGGAAUUCCCGGUGUAGAGGUGAAAUUCGUAGAUAUCGGGAGGAACACCAGUGGCGAAGGCGGCGAUCUGGACAGAUAUUGACGCUGAUGUACGAAAGCGUGGGGAGCAAACAGG
rnacentral:rRNA from 1 species